GGGACUGUUGACAGCCAAAGAGAGACAAGAAGAAAAAUCUGAAAAAAGUGAAGUUCUGUUGGAUUUUGAUCUCCAGGUCUUUAAAAAGACAGACAGCUUAUCAGCAAGAUAGAAGUGUUUUUGUGAAAUAACCUCAACAAGACAUCAAAGCUAAGUGGAAGAGAAGCAGAGAUGAUAGAUGCGAGAUCUCGGAAAGUUCAAUGCACAAGAGAUGUGAAGGUCCCACAGUGGUCUGCCUGAACAGAGAGGGAGAACUUUUCUAAAAUGGUUUAAAGAUUGCACUGGAAUGGGCAGCAUUGGAGAGAGGCCUUCCUGAGAUUUCUUAUUUUAAAAUCUACAAUGAUUCUGAUGAUCUCUAGAUUAGAGUAGCAGAAAAGGAGAAUAUAUUCAGAUAUCAAGGCAGGGAUUUGUGGAGACUUGAUGACAGCUGUGAUAAAGAGGGAUUUAUAAAAAGUUCCAUUACUUGUUCUUAAGGGUCAAGAAACAUUAGUCCAA